CAUAGCGGUGUAGAAGAUACAAGAGGGCCAGACCAUGAAGUGCCUUAAAAUAAAUGGCUUCAUCCUGGUCAGGGUCGCUACCCUUAAAGAAAGGCAUAAAACGAGAAUACACACUGGACAGGGCGCUAUUCCAUCUCGGGGCAAGAUCCAUUUACUCACCUGAUGCAGUCUGGUUCUACAGGGAAACACUGGACGUAAGGCAAGAAUACCCUGGACAAAGUGCCAGUUUAUCGCAGGGCUUCGGCCACUGUAAAUCAUGUCUGUGUAGACAGCGUAAUAAACCUCUGUGCCAUCUCAGUGUCUAAUAAUAAUAAUGAUUAUUAUUAUUAGUAGUAGUAGUAACAA